CCAAGAGGUAGAGGUGAUACCUGCACUGUGGGUUGCAAACCAAGUUUGUCAAUGGCCAUCUCAUUACAAGCCUGAUGACUUGGUGAAGGCCAUACGGCAUGAGGAGCAGCCUGGACACAUGUUGGAUGCUUUCAGUGUCCAAAUUGUUUAUACAGCUGCAAACUACAAAACUGCCAGAUUAAAACUUCCUCAAGCUGAAACAAACACGGAUGUUCAAACAGCAGAGGAAGAAAUCGAAGAAGACAUCCAAAAGAAAAAGCGAAAAAGGCUACCAAACAACCGAUUUUAGAGUGAUAGUGAAGAUGAAGUCCCUGUCAACAAUUAUUUUUAUUUGCCUCCAGCCCCAAAGAUAAAAAGGCCAGACAUAAUUGGUGCAUUAAGAAAAACCCUUGAAACACGACGGACCAGCACUGUAUCCCGACGGACCAGCCCUGUAUCCCGACGGACCAGCCCUGUACCCCGACGGACCAGCCCUGUACCCCGACUGACCAGCCCUGUAUCCCAACGGACCAGCUCUGUACCCCAACUGACCAGCCCUGAACGACAGUCAGCAACAACUUCAGCAACAA